AAGUCGUAACAAGGUUUCCGUAGGUGAACCUGCGGAAGGAUCAUUAACACGUAUCCAACGUUAAAAACACCCCUGUGAACCCGAUAACCUUGCUCCUCGCGCCCUGCACGCCUAGCAAUCCCUGGUAAAUCAUUGUCUGACCGUGACGCGAAGAAUGUCUUAAAUGGCAUCUGCGCGGGAUGUUGCGAUUGCGUGUAGUGACACUUGUGCUCCCCAAGCAACCAUGUUUCUUAAAGCGGUCAUGGAAGCGUAAGGAGCAACGCUGUAACGUUUGCUGUAGGCCCACACGGCCGGCAACAAGUGCCCGGACUCAUAUUUAUAUGGGGCCCCGUAUAUAAAGACGUCGUACUUAGCGAGGACUAAAAGCCUCGCACCAAAAACCGAACAACUGUUAACAAUGGAUAUCUUGGUUCUC
rnacentral:misc_RNA from 1 species